rnacentral:rRNA from 1 species
AUUGAACGCUGGCGGCAUGCCUUACACAUGCAAGUCGAACGGUAACAGGUCUUCGGAUGCUGACGAGUGGCGAACGGGUGAGUAAUGCAUCGGAACGUGCCCAGUAGUGGGGGAUAGCCCGGCGAAAGCCGGAUUAAUACCGCAUACGACCUGAGGGUGAAAGGGGGGGAUCGCAAGACCGCUCGCGAUUGGAGCGGCCGAUGUCAGAUUAGCAAGUUGGUGGGGUAAAGGCCUACCAAGGCAACGAUCUGUAGUUGGUCUGAGAGGACGACCAGCCACACUGGGACUGAGACACGGCCCAGACUCCUACGGGAGGCAGCAGUGGGGAAUUUUGGACAAUGGGCGCAAGCCUGAUCCAGCAAUGCCGCGUGCAGGAAGAAGGCCUUCGGGUUGUAAACUGCUUUUGUCAGGGAAGAAAUCUUCUGGGUUAAUACCUCGGGAGGAUGACGGUACCUGAAGAAUAAGCACCGGCUAACUACGUGCCAGCAGCCGCAGUAACAC